GCUGUUCAUCGGAGAAAGAAAAAAAAGUUUCGAAGAUUAUUUCCGUACAAUAGCUGUGCGUUUUAUGCCGAAGAAUCGGAUUCGUCGCUUGUCAGAAAACUCAACUCGAGGUACUUACCUGGAUAUUGUAGAAAGUUGGAUAAUCGAGGAUUCGGUCUAAACGAAGAUUUUGUACCGUGCUUCAACAAUGACGCAACGACGAUCAAUAACCAUGAAAUAUAGAAAUUUUCUUGCACAACGAUUAAUGAGGAUUCUUAAUCGGUGGUAUGUUCGCCCGUCUCCUGAUGUGAACGAGUUUGAAGAAAGGCCAGGAAAUAAAGUACAACGCGUGCAGAAGCAGACUCAGCAAGUUGGCCA